GGCAGCAGCUAAGAAUAUUCCGCAAUGGACGAAAGUCUGACGGAGCGACGCCGCGUGGAUGAUGAAGGCCGGAAGGUUGUAAAAUCCUUUUAUGACUGAGGAAUAAGUGAAGUGAGAGAAACGCUUCAUGGUGACUGUAGGUCAUGAAUAAGCAACGGCUAAUUACGUGCCAGCAGCCGCGGUAACACGUAAGUUGCGAGCGUUGUUCGGAAUUAUUGGGCGUAAAGGGUAUGUAGGCGGUUCUGCAAGUCUGGUGUGAAAUUCCGGGGCUCAACCCCGGGACUGCGUUGGAAACUGCAGGACUUGAAUCGCUGAGGGGCAGCCAGAAUUCCAGGUGUAGGGGUGAAAUCUGUAGAUAUCUGGAAGAAUACCAAUGGCGAAGGCAGGUUGCCAGCAGAUGAUUGACGCUGAGGUACGAAGGUGCGGGGAGCAAACAGGAUUAGAUACCCUGGUAGUCCGCACAGUCAACUAUGUACACUGGGUGUCCGCACAUGAGUGUGGGUGCCGAAGCAAACGCGAUAAGUGUACCGCCUGGGGAGUAUGCCCGCAAGGGUGAAACUCAAGGAAUUGACGG
rnacentral:rRNA from 1 species